GCAGUCGAGCGAACAGAUAAGGAGCUUGCUCCUUUGACGUUAGCGGCGGACGGGUGAGUAACACGUGGGUAACCUACCUAUAAGACUGGGAUAACUUCGGGAAACCGGAGCUAAUACCGGAUAACAUUUGGAACCGCAUGGUUCUAAAGUGAAAGAUGGUUUUGCUAUCACUUAUAGAUGGACCCGCGCCGUAUUAGCUAGUUGGUAAGGUAACGGCUUACCAAGGCGACGAUACGUAGCCGACCUGAGAGGGUGAUCGGCCACACUGGAACUGAGACACGGUCCAGACUCCUACGGGAGGCAGCAGUAGGGAAUCUUCCGCAAUGGGCGAAAGCCUGACGGAGCAACGCCGCGUGAGUGAUGAAGGGUUUCGGCUCGUAAAACUCUGUUAUUAGGGAAGAACAAACGUGUAAGUAACUGUGCACGUCUUGACGGUACCUAAUCAGAAAGCCACGGCUAACUACGUGCCAGCAGCCGCGGUAAUACGUAGGUGGCAAGCGUUAUCCGGAAUUAUUGGGCGUAAAGCGCGCGUAGGCGGUUUCUUAAGUCUGAUGUGAAAGCCCACGGCUCAACCGUGGAGGGUCAUUGGAAACUGGGAAACUUGAGUGCAGAAGAGGAAAGUGGAAUUCCAUGUGUAGCGGUGAAAUGCGCAGAGAUAUGGAGGAACACCAGUGGCGAAGGCGACUUUCUGGUCUGUAACUGACGCUGAUGUGCGAAAGCGUGGGGAUCAAACAGGAUUAGAUACCCUGGUAGUCCACGCCGUAAACGAUGAGUGCUAAGUGUUAGGGGGUUUCCGCCCCUUAGUGCUGCAGCUAACGCAUUAAGCACUCCGCCUGGGGAGUACGACCGCAAGGUUGAAACUCAAAGGAAUUGACGGGGACCCGCACAAGCGGUGGAGCAUGUGGUUUAAUUCGAAGCAACGCGAAGAACCUUACCAAAUCUUGACAUCCUUUGAAAACUCUAGAGAUAGAGCCUUCCCCUUCGGGGGACAAAGUGACAGGUGGUGCAUGGUUGUCGUCAGCUCGUGUCGUGAGAUGUUGGGUUAAGUCCCGCAACGAGCGCAACCCUUAAGCUUAGUUGCCAUCAUUAAGUUGGGCACUCUAGGUUGACUGCCGGUGACAAACCGGAGGAAGGUGGGGAUGACGUCAAAUCAUCAUGCCCCUUAUGAUUUGGGCUACACACGUGCUACAAUGGACAAUACAAAGGGCAGCUAAACCGCGAGGUCAUGCAAAUCCCAUAAAGUUGUUCUCAGUUCGGAUUGUAGUCUGCAACUCGACUACAUGAAGCUGGAAUCGCUAGUAAUCGUAGAUCAGCAUGCUACGGUGAAUACGUUCCCGGGUCUUGUACACACCGCCCGUCACACCACGAGAGUUUGUAACACCCGAAGCCGGUGGAGUAAC
rnacentral:rRNA from 1 species